rnacentral:rRNA from 1 species
UUAGAGUUUGAUCCUGGCUCAGGACGAACGCUGGCGGCGCGCCUAACACAUGCAAGUCGAACGAGAGAUGAGGAGCUUGCUCUUCAAAUCGAGUGGCGAACGGGUGAGUAACGCGUGAGGAACCUGCCUCGAAGAGGGGGACAACAGUUGGAAACGACUGCUAAUACCGCAUAAGCCCACGGCUCGGCAUCGAGCAGAGGGAAAAGGAGCAAUCCGCUUUGAGAUGGCCUCGCGUCCGAUUAGCUAGUUGGUGAGGUAACGGCCCACCAAGGCGACGGUCGGUAGCCGGACUGAGAGGUUGAACGGCCACAUUGGGACUGAGACACGGCCCAGACUCCUACGGGAGGCAGCAGUGGGGAAUAUUGCACAAUGGGGGAAACCCUGAUGCAGCGACGCCGCGUGGAGGAAGAAGGCUUUCGGGUUGUAAACUUCUUUUAUGAGGGACGAAGGAAGUGACGGUACCUCAUGAAUAAGCUCCGGCUAACUACGUGCCAGCAGCCGCGGUAAUACGUAGGGAGCGAGCGUUAUCCGGAUUUACUGGGUGUAAAGGGCGUGUAGGCGGGGAAGCAAGUCAGAUGUGAAAACCAGUGGCUCAACCACUGGCCUGCAUUUGAAACUGUUUUUCUUGAGUGAUGGAGAGGCAGGCGGAAUUCCGUGUGUAGCGGUGAAAUGCGUAGAUAUACGGAGGAACACCAGUGGCGAAGGCGGCCUGCUGGACAUUAACUGACGCUGAGGCUCGAAAGUGUGGGUAGCAAACAGGAUUAGAUACCCUGGUAGUCCACACCGUAAACGAUGAUUACUAGGUGUUGGAGGAUUGACCCCUUCAGUGCCGCAGUUAACACAAUAAGUAAUCCACCUGGGGAGUACGACCGCAAGGUUGAAACUCAAAGGAAUUGACGGGGGCCCGCACAAGCAGUGGAGUAUGUGGUUUAAUUCGACGCAACGCGAAGAACCUUACCAAGUCUUGACAUCCCUUGACGAUGCUGGAAACAGUAUUUCUCUUCGGAGCAAGGAGACAGGUGGUGCAUGGUUGUCGUCAGCUCGUGUCGUGAGAUGUUGGGUUAAGUCCCGCAACGAGCGCAACCCUUAUGGUCAGUUACUACGCAAGAGGACUCUGGCCAGACUGCCGUUGACAAAACGGAGGAAGGUGGGGAUGACGUCAAAUCAUCAUGCCCUUUAUGACUUGGGCUACACACGUACUACAAUGGCGUUAAACAAAGAGAAGCAAGACCGCGAGGUGGAGCAAAACUCAGAAACAACGUCCCAGUUCGGACUGCAGGCUGCAACUCGCCUGCACGAAGUCGGAAUUACUAGUAAUCGUGGAUCAGCAUGCCACGGUGAAUACGUUCCCGGGCCUUGCACACACCGCCCGUCA